rnacentral:rRNA from 1 species
CAGAUGAACGCUGGCGGCAGGCCUAACACAUGCAAGUCGAACGGUAACAGGAAGAAGCUUGCUCUUGCUGACGAGUGGCGGACGGGUGAGUAAUGUCUGGGAAACUGCCUGAUGGAGGGGGAUAACUACUGGAAACGGUAGCUAAUACCGCAUAACGUCGCAAGACCAAAGAGGGGGACCUUCGGGCCUCUUGCCAUCGGAUGUGCCCAGAUGGGAUUAGCUUGUUGGUGGGGUAACGGCUCACCAAGGCGACGAUCCCUAGCUGGUCUGAGAGGAUGACCAGCCACACUGGAACUGAGACACGGUCCAGACUCCUACGGGAGGCAGCAGUGGGGAAUAUUGCACAAUGGGCGCAAGCCUGAUGCAGCCAUGCCGCCGUGUAUGAAGAAGGCCUUCGGGUUGUAAAGUACUUCAGCGGGGAGGAAGGGAGUAAAGUUAAUACCUUUGCUCAUUGACGUUACCCGCAGAAGAAGCACCGGCUAACUCCGUGCCAGCAGCGGC